GUGCCAGCAGCCGCGGUAAUACGUAGGUGGCAAGCGUUGUCCGGAAUUAUUGGGCGUAAAGCGCGCGCAGGCGGUCUCUUAAGUCUGAUGUGAAAGCCCCCGGCUCAACCGGGGAGGGUCAUUGGAAACUGGGAGACUUGAGUGCAGAAGAGAAGAGCGGAAUUCCACGUGUAGCGGUGAAAUGCGUAGAGAUGUGGAGGAACACCAGUGGCGAAGGCGGCUCUUUGGUCUGUAACUGACGCUGAGGCGCGAAAGCGUGGGGAGCAAACAGGAUUAGAUACCCUGGUAGUCC
rnacentral:rRNA from 1 species